CUAUUUGGUCAUCAAAGAGAAGGUUUAACACUUAAUCAACUCGAGAAGGAUAGGAAGGCACAAUUUUUCUUCGUUUGGGACUAGAAGAACUGCAAAAAAAUCCAGAAUCCGAUAACGUAUAUGUUAAAGAUCUACAAGGAUUAU